CAGGCUUUGCUGCAACCAAUGGGCUCCUAGGGCAGGACAUGCAUGGCUAAGGAAUGUAGUAAUAAGGUGAACAUGGACAGAAGAGGGACUGAAGGAAAGAGAAGAAAAAGGAGAAACUAAGGUGUGUGUUUUGCAGAGUUCAGAAACAGUCGGACAAGGGCUUCAGAUGAAGAGCUCCUAAACACUCCUAAAGACUACCAGUUACACAGCCUCCAUUGACAGAAAACUUAUGCUCUAAAUACAGCUCUGAACCUGUCUUCUAGAUCGGUGGUCAUACAAAUUGGUCCUAUUAACAACCGAAGAAAGGAGAACAAACUUAGGUUAUGGACUUGAAAGGAUAAAGCCAAGCAAAAGAUUGAAGUGCUGCCUGUGUGGACAGCACCUCACUGCUCCUUCCU
rnacentral:lncRNA from 1 species